GAUGAACGCUAGCGGCAGGCUUAAUACAUGCAAGUCGAGGGGCAGCAUGACUGUAGCAAUACAGUUGAUGGCGACCGGCAAACGGGGGCGGAACACGUACAGGACCGUCCUUCGAGCGGGGAAUAACCCAGAGAAAUUUGGAUUAAUACCCCAUAGUAUAUUUGAAAGGCAUCUUUUAAAUAUUAAAGAUUUAUCACUUGAAGAUGGCUGUGCGGCUGAUUAGGUAGUUGGCGGGGUAACGGCCCACCAAGCCUGCGAUCAGUAACUGGUGUGAGAGCACGACCAGUCACACGGGAACUGAGACACGGGCCCGACUCCUACGGGAGGCAGCAGUAAGGAAUAUUGGUCAAUGGACGAAAGUCUGAACCAGCCAUGCCGCGUGGAGGAUGAAGGUCCUCUGGAUUGUAAACUUCUUUUAUAUGGGACGAAAAAAGACUUUUCUAAGUCGUCUGACGGUACCAUAUGAAUAAGCACCGGCUAACUCCGUGCCAGCAGCCGCAGUAACAC
rnacentral:rRNA from 1 species